AUGAACGCUGGCGGCGUGCCUAAUACAUGCAAGUCGAGCGCACGGACGAGAAGCUUGCUUCUCUGAUGUUAGCGGCGGACGGGUGAGUAACACGUGGAUAACCUACCUAUAAGACUGGGAUAACUUCGGGAAACCGUAGCUAAUACCGGAUAAUAUUUUGAACCGCAUGGUUCAAAAGUGAAAGACGGUCUUGCUGUCACUUAUAGAUGGAUCCGCGCUGCAUUAGCUAGUUGGUAAGGUAACGGCUUACCAAGGCAACGAUGCAUAGCCGACCUGAGAGGGUGAUCGGCCACACUGGAACUGAGACACGGUCCAGACUCCUACGGGAGGCAGCAGUAGGGAAUCUUCCGCAAUGGGCGAAAGCCUGACGGAGCAACGCCGCGUGAGUGAUGAAGGUCUUCGGAUCGUAAAACUCUGUUAUUAGGGAAGAACAUAUGUGUAAGUAACUGUGCACAUCUUGACGGUACCUAAUCAGAAAGCCACGGCUAACUACGUG
rnacentral:rRNA from 1 species